ACAACGCUGGCGGCAGGCUAACACCUGCAGUCAAGCGCGCCUUCGGGCGAGCGGCGGACGGGUUAGUAACGCGUGGGAACGUGCCCAGAUCUACGGAAUAGCCACUGGAAACGGUGAGUAAUACCGUAUACGCCCUUCGGGGGAAAGAUUUAUCGGAUUUGGAUCGGCCCGCGUUAGAUUAGGUAGUUGGUAGUGGUAACGGCCUACCAAGCCUACGAUCUAUAGCUGGUUUUAGAGGAUGAUCAGCAACACUGGGACUGAGACACGGCCCAGACUCCAACGGGAGGCAGCAGUGGGGAAUCUUGGACAAUGGGGGCAACCCUGAUCCAGCCAUGCCGCGUGAGUGAAGAAGGCCCUAGAGGUCGUAAAACUCUUUCGCCUGUGAUGAUAAUGACAGUAGCAGGUAAAGAAACCCCGGCUAACUCCGUGCCAGCAGCCGCGGUAAUACGGAGGGGGUUAGCGUUGUUCGGAAUUACUGGGCGUAAAGCGCACGUAGGCGGAUUAGAAAGUUAGAGGUGAAUCCGGGGCUCAACCCCGGGAAACUUGCCUUUAAACACUAACUAGGUCUAAGAAGUUCGAAGAGCAGGUUGACGUGGGAACUUCCGAAGGUGUAACAAGGUGAAACUCCGUAAGCAUAUUCGGGAGGGAACACUCCACGUGGGCGAAAGGGCGGGAUCACACUGGACUCGGAUA
rnacentral:rRNA from 1 species